rnacentral:snRNA from 1 species
UGUCUUCCAUAGGAGGUCUAUAUUGAGCAGAUUCUUUUUGGUAUUGGGUGGUGGAACCGGAGCGUGCUCCAUCCACUCCAUGCAUUGACCUGGUAUUGCAGUGCUUCCAGGACCGGUGC